GUUGGCCAAAACCUAAGUAAAAUUUAGGAUUGAUCUUCUAUUUGGUAAGUUUAAUCUUCUUCAAAUUUUGUGUGCUUGUUACCAACUUAGUUAUUAAAAUAUGUGUAAAAUAUUAUAUAAGAUUAAUAGUAUAAUUGAUAGAUAUUGAGGUUCUAAAUUGCCUUAGGAUUAGAUUAAUUUCAUUAAGAUUUGGUUUAAAAUUUAGGAAUUGAUUAGGAUUUAAAGUUUGCUUAGGAUAUAUGAUUUUUUAGGAUUUAGUUAAGCUUUGAAUUAGGAUUUAAAUAAAGACUUCUAGGAUUUUAACU
rnacentral:lncRNA from 1 species